rnacentral:lncRNA from 1 species
CUAAAUCUCUGAAACUGUAAGCCAUCCCCGGUCGAAUGCUUUCCUUUAUAAGAGUUGCCAUGAUUGUGAUGUUUCUUCACUGAUUAAGACAGGAGGGCCACCACUGGUGGUACAGGAGCAACAGCUGAAACUCAAGGGCAUACUGUGGAUAAUGAUGAGACCAGAAGUGAAGCCUGGCUUGCCCUAAGAACUCUUCUUUCUCCUCUGUGCUGCCUCUGCUCUACCUAAAGGGAACUAAAGGCUGUGGAUCGACCUGGGCCCCAGGACCUUGCCAAGCCUUGCCACGGACCGGAG